UUGUGCUGCCGUGCCUAUAUUGCGUGGAGUAAACAAUUUGAUGGGACAGAUUGCUUGUGCUAGAUGUGGUUAGUCUGUAGUGGUCAUCUUGUUUUUAAUUUUGGGGACACAUUGCUGCUUGUGCUGUCAAAUAUGCAAUUUAAUCUUUUACCAGAAGCGGGCUGCCUGCUUCGCUGCGCCGCUCUUUUUCCAGGUUAACAAUCCGUUUGUUUAGUUGUUCGUGGGUCUGUUGCGCCUUUUUGCUGGGUGUUGGGCGUUGCCCUGCUAGAUGCAUAUAAUAUUUGCAUCUAUACACACCUGUGUUGAGCAUUGGUAAUCAUGAUUUUCAGUAUCCCUGAAUUACAAGCUCAGGCAAGAGCAUACCAAUUCUGGUGUUGUCACUACAAAAUAUGUACAGCAAAGGGCGAAACAAUAAUCAAAUACUGUGAGCGUGUUCAAUCUAUAUUAUCAUAUACAAAUCAUUCUUUCUUAAAAAAUCUAUAUUGUUAGAAGAGUGUUCAAAGAUUUACUUAUUCAAAUAACUCUAUCGAUUGUAUAAAUAAGGGAUCAAACUGUCAAAUAGAAUGGAUCCUGAAGAAAUGCUAAUGCCAAUUAUAUUUAGAGAAAAACUUACCAAUUAAUUGGCAAUAAAAUCAUAGCUGCAGCCUGCAGUACGGAGUUGUUGAUAUUUAUCCGAGGUUACAGCUGUAGCCUACACAAUCUUAAUACACACAUAGGAGAAGAGAACUUGAAGGUGGGAAUUCUGAACCAUAUAUAGUUGUAGCUGGAUAUAAAGAUAAAAAAUAACAUAUAUGAUAUAGACACAGGACCUGUUCUACAACCAGCACUCAGCAAUUACAAGUAACACAAACAUGCACAAGACUUCGCUGAAUAAUUUGAAGCACUGGAGAUAACAUACGAAGCAACAAAAUGAUGCCUUUUGGUUACUUGGUGUACUUGGCUGUACUAUUUAUUAGGGUUGAUUUCUGUCCUACUAAUGACUACUGCCUUCUCCACCCAUCCAAUGGUGUACAUGACGUCCUCCUCCUUGACGCGGCUGUCCCCAACGAGCUCUCUCCUCCGGAGGAGGUGAAGCAGCUUGUCCAGCACCCCCUUGGCCUCCUAUCCUGCACCACAUGAACGAGCUCACCGACGGUUGCGUUCUGCCCUCCUAGCGUGAUAUUGGUUAUGGCAGCAUUUUCAACAAGAAAGACAUGCGUUUUGACAACUUUGGCAUGGACGGGUGGAUCUGCUGCUUGGAAGACCCCUAGUUGGUGUGUGGCCGCCUGAUAAGAGUGGCCAUCGCUUGGUGGGCGUGGUGCUGGUUGUAGAGUAGGAUAGUGUUCUUCGUGACAUGCUUGUAAAAUUAAGGUUUUUUGGGUCUUUUUUUCCGCUCCUGUACAAGUGUAUUUUUGGAUCUGUUGUUGUAAUUUUCUUUUUCUAAUGACAUGAGCAUAUACUUUCUGUCAAAUUCUUAUUGGCGUAAAUUUUCCAUGGAAAA